GACGAACGCUGGCGGCGUGCUUAACACAUGCAAGUCGAACGGAAAGGCCCUGCUUUUGUGGGGUGCUCGAGUGGCGAACGGGUGAGUAACACGUGAGUAACCUGCCCUUGACUUUGGGAUAACUUCAGGAAACUGGGGCUAAUACCGGAUAGGAGCUCCUGCUGCAUGGUGGGGGUUGGAAAGUUUCGGCGGUUGGGGAUGGACUCGCGGCUUAUCAGCUUGUUGGUGGGGUAGUGGCUUACCAAGGCUUUGACGGGUAGCCGGCCUGAGAGGGUGACCGGCAACAUUGGGACUGAGAUACGGCCCAGACUCCUACGGGAGGCAGCAGUGGGGAAUAUUGCACAAUGGGCGGAAGCCUGAUGCAGCAACGCCGCGUGCGGGAUGACGGCCUUCGGGUUGUAAACCGCUUUCGCCUGUGACGAAGCGUGAGUGACGGUAAUGGGUAAAGAAGCACCGGCUAACUACGCG
rnacentral:rRNA from 1 species